rnacentral:lncRNA from 1 species
UUUGACAUUUUGGCCUGAUUUUCAACUAAAUAUGUAUGGAUUUCUUGAUUGGGCUGGGAAUUUGCUUAUUGGGCCUCGCCUUUAAGAAUUUGGGCUUGUGAUUCAUCUCCUACCGAAAUUGGGUCGUUGACGCACGUAAUGGAGAUCCAACGCGCUUUGGCUGCAAGAUUCGGUUUCUUGGACCAAGAUUUCCAAGAUUUGAAAUCUUGAUUUUCUUGAUUCUUGAAAUCACUCCGAACAGCAAA